CAGCAUUUUGCUCCACCUAUUUUGAUGACUAAUGCUCAAUGCCUUCUUUCCCUUAGGCUGAAAGGCUGGGAGCCUGGGGGCCACCGUUUACACCCUGGGUGUGGCUGAUUAUAAGAUAGGCCAGGUCAUUCUGAACUAGUAACCAGGCACCACUCUGGAGCUGAGUGGAGAAAGGCAUCCCAGGCGGCUUUCCCAGGGCCACCACAAGGACAGUCAUCUAACUUGCCCCCAAGUGAUUUGGGCCAACCCAUGGCCACUGCAGAAGUGACUGACAGCGUGUUGUAGAAAUCCCACCACACCAAAAGCGGGGGCGGAAGAGUUCCCCACUCCCUGAUAGUGGGCUGCUGGCUAGAGAAGGCUGUGGCCCUGACAGCCUGACAUUCUGCUGCCCCCAAAGCAUGGGGGCAAGACACUGUCCCCUGAGCCUGUGACCUGCUGCAUCCUCACCUCCUGGGUGGGGGUCCAAGCCACGUUCCCUCUCUGAAGAUAACAACAAUUGCCCACAGCCUGGACCGCAUGUUUGCAGUGGGUCAUGGAGUUUCUGAACAGCAUGGCCUAGUGGACAGAAUCGGAACACAAGGUGUCUUGAGGUGAAGUCUGUGGAGCCUCCACUAUGUGUGCAGGAGGUGAGCACUGAGGAGGCCCCGCUGUAGUAAGAAGGGAGGCCAUACCAAGCAGUGUGCGGGAGUCCCAGUC
rnacentral:lncRNA from 10 species